rnacentral:pre_miRNA from 1 species
ACAAAGGAAAAAGUGAAGCUGCCAGCAUGAUCUAGCUUUGGUUAGUGAAGAAGAGUGUUAAUUAACCUUUACUAGGUCAUGCUGUGCCAGCCUCACUCCUUCCUAUU